rnacentral:rRNA from 1 species
UGCAAGUCGAACGGUACAUAAGGUGCUUGCACUUUGAUGACGAGUGGCGCACGGGUGCGUAACGCGUAUAGAACCUACCCUGUACAGGGGGAUAGCCCAGAGAAAUUUGGAUUAAUACCCCGUAGUAACUACUGAUGGCAUCAUUAGUAGUUUAAAGUUUUCGGAUGGUACAGGAUGGCUAUGCGUCCUAUUAGUUAGAUGGUGAGGUAACGGCUCACCAUGGCAGCGAUAGGUAGGGGCCCUGGGAGGGGGAUCCCCCACACUGGUACUGAGACACGGACCAGACUCCUACGGGAGGCAGCAGUGAGGAAUAUUGGACAAUGGGCAGAAGCCUGAUCCAGCCAUGCCGCGUGCAGGAAGACGGCCCUAUGGGUUGUAAACUGCUUUUAUACGGGAAGAAUAAGGGACACGUGUGUCCUGGUGACGGUACCGUAAGAAUAAGGACCGGCUAACUCCGUGCCAGCAGCCGCGGUAAUACG